rnacentral:lncRNA from 1 species
CUAAAACGUUGCUUGAAGUUGCUUUAUAAAAUUGCAGAUCACUUUCUACCUCUGGUGAAGGUAAACUAGCUUGAGGGUAAAUUUACUAAAGGAGAAGAGCAGGUUGUGUUAUUAGCUCUGCUCAGCAGGGCGUUUUGGUUUUCUUUUGUUUUUACACUCCAGGCUUUCUCUCCUUGCAUGCCUCAGUGGGAGGCGAGCUGCUCCGUAACUCCGCACUGGCUGGGGGCGGUUGCUCUCAGAGCUGGAGCUGGAGGAACCCGCGUGUGAAUGAGACGGCUGUCAGCAUCACCGCACUCAGGACUCCCUGUGCAGGGAGCAACACACCAGAAGUGCAGAGCCCCCGAUCUUCUGGCUCACUUGAAUUUGUGCUCCAGCCUAUUACAUAUUUUUUUUUCACACACAUGAUCAUUUGUUUGCAGUCUGGAAAUAUAAAACCACUCAAGAAAUGGGGGCCAAACUAUUGGCCUCCUGAUUACUCUACAAAUCCUUUUGGAUUCUUGUUCUUAGAACGAUUGCACAAUUAGCUGUCAGAGAGACAGGGAUAACCUCCCAGUAAGGCUCUGUAACCCCUAGCAGAUCAAAACACACAUGGCGUGGAAGAGGAUGAAGAGGGGAAUGCUGCCAUAAUCAGCCUUGGACAACUGGAGGGGAAGAAACUGAAAAAAUUAUCAACAAAAAUAAAUAAGGAUCUCUUUGUGUGACA